rnacentral:tRNA from 1 species
AGGCGGGGGCAGGAUUCGAACCUGCAGUCUUCAGGUCAUGAGCCUGAUGAGUUGACCAAUUCCUCUACCCCGCU